rnacentral:rRNA from 1 species
UACGUAGGGAGCAAGCGUUGUCCGGAAUCAUUGGGCGUAAAGAGCGUGUAGGCGGUCCGGUAAGUCAGCUGUGAAAGUCAAGGGCUCAACCCUUGAAAGCCGGUUGAUACUGUCGGGCUAGAGUCCGGAAGAGGCGAGUGGAAUUCCCGGUGUAGCGGUGAAAUGCGCAGAUACCUUGAAGAACUCCGAUUGCGAAGGCAGCCCACUGGACUUCUACCGACGCUGAGGCACGAAAGCGUGGGGAUCAAACAGG